rnacentral:rRNA from 1 species
UACGUAGGGUCCGAGCGUUGUCCGGAAUUACUGGGCGUAAAGAGCUCGUAGGUGGUUUGUCGCGUUGUCCGUGAAAACUCACAGCUCAACUGUGGGCGUGCGGGCGAUACGGGCAGACUUGAGUACUGCAGGGGAGACUGGAAUUCCUGGUGUAGCGGUGGAAUGCGCAGAUAUCAGGAGGAACACCGGUGGCGAAGGCGGGUCUCUGGGCAGUAACUGACGCUGAGGAGCGAAAGCGUGGGGAGCGAACAGG